rnacentral:rRNA from 1 species
GACGAACGCUGGCGGCGUGCUUAACACAUGCAAGUCGAACGGAAAGGCCCUGCUUUUGUGGGGUGCUCGAGUGGCGAACGGGUGAGUAACACGUGAGUAACCUGCCCUUGACUUUGGGAUAACUUCAGGAAACUGGGGCUAAUACCGGAUAGGAGCUCCUGCUGCAUGGUGGGGGUUGGAAAGUUUCGGCGGUUGGGGAUGGACUCGCGGCUUAUCAGCUUGUUGGUGGGGUAGUGGCUUACCAAGGCUUUGACGGGUAGCCGGCCUGAGAGGGUGACCGGCCACAUUGGGACUGAGAUACGGCCCAGACUCCUACGGGAGGCAGCAGUGGGGAAUAUUGCACAAUGGGCGGAAGCCUGAGGCAGCAACGCCGCGUGCGGGAUGACGGCCUUCGGGUUGUAAACCGCUUUCGCCUGUGACGAAGCGUGAGUGACGGUAAUGGGGAAAGAAGCACCGGCUAACUACGU